rnacentral:rRNA from 1 species
CUGCAGCCCGAGUGGUGGUCGUUUUUAUUGAGCCUAAAGCGUCCGUAGCCGGACUAGUAAACCCUUGGGUAAAUUGGGCAGCUUAACUGUCCAAAUUCCGAGGGGACUGCUAGUCUUGGGACCGGGAGAGGUCAGAGGUACUCAAGGGGUAGGGGCUAAAUCCUGUAAUCCUUUGGGGACCACCAGUGGCGAAGGCGUCUGACUAGAACGGAUCCGACGGUAAGGGACGAAACCCUGGGGCGCGAACCGGAUUAGAUACCCGAGUAGUCC